rfam:Glossina fuscipes fuscipes unplaced genomic scaffold Scaffold302, whole genome shotgun sequence.
AGGUCGUUUGAAGGGAAAGCAAGUUAGCAAUUCCCUUAGACGAGGAUGGCGUUAAAUGUAAUUUUUUU